rnacentral:misc_RNA from 1 species
GGCAAAUACGUGUUGCAAAUGGGGAGCCUCUUCCCUUGACUCAGUCAGAGGUGCCAUUUUCAGGUCAUGCUUUUGAAGCCCGAAUUUAUGCUGAAAAUGUUCCAAAAGGAUUUCUUCCAGCAACUGGUGUUCUUCAUCAUUAUUGUCCUGUUACAGCUACAUCAGCAGUUAGAGUUGAGACUGGAGUGGAGGAAGGGGACACAGUAAGCAUGCAUUAUGAUCCCAUGAUUGCAAAGCUAGUAGUAUGGGGACAGGACCGCCUUUCAGCACUGAUAAAAAUGAAGGAUUGCUUGUCAAAGUUUCAGGUUGCAGGUUUACCCACCAAUAUAGACUUUAUCAUUAAGCUUGCCAGUCAUAGGGCUUUUCAAAAUGGUGAAGUAGAAACUCAUUUUAUUGAGCGGUACAAGGAUGAUCUGUUCAUAGAUGGUUCCAAUCCAAUAUCAGCAGAAAAAGCUGAGAGUGCUGCCAAACAUGCUGCAUCCAUUGUAGCUGCAUGCAUUUGCCAAAAUGAACUUGCAAGAUUGAAGGAUAAGGCUCCUGGAGGCCUUCAUUUGUGGUAUGGUAAUCCUCCAUUCAGAAUCAAUCAUUUUGCUAAGCGAACAGUGGAUCUUGAAUGGGAGAAUCAAUACAGUAUUAGUGGUUCAAAUCUUUUAACAGUCUCCAUCACCUAUUUGCCAGAUGGGAAAUACCUAGUUGAGACAGGAGAAAGCAAUUCCCCUGGUUUGGAGAUCCAGGUGACACAACUAAGCAACAAUGACUAUAGAGUUGAAGUGGAUGGUCUAAGCCUGAAUGUCUGUUUGGCAGCUUACUCCAAGGAUCAAAUUGAGCAUAUUCACAUCUGGCAUGGCGACUCUCAACAUCAGUUUAAACAAAGGAUGGGCCUAGAAAUCUAUGAUGAUGAAGAAACAAUAGACAAGCCUGCUAGGGUGGCGACAUCUUAUCCUUCUGGUACUGUGAUUGCACCCAUGGCUGGGCUAGUGGUUAAAGUAUUGGUGAAGGAUGGGGAGAAAGUUCAGGAGGGACAACCUGUGUUAGUAUUAGAAGCAAUGAAGAUGGAGCAUGUAGUGAAAGCACCAGCUAAUGGCUAUGUAAGCGGGCUUGAAAUCAAAGUGGGCCAAUCGGUCCAAGAUGGUGUAAAACUCUUUGCUCUCAAGGACUGAAAUAUAUCCUGAGGCUAUGACAACAUCAUUCUAGACAACUGUAUGUAUGACCUUCCUAUGAGGACUGUACAUCCACUAGGCAUAAGAAUAACAACAUUGAGAUGUAAAAUCUCUUGGAGUUUCAUCUUCUACAUUUCAAAUACAUUUACUUGUAAAUGACUUUCCAGCUCAAAAUUUGUCCAGAUUAGUGGUAUAUGAUCAAUGGUUGCUCAUUCAUUUCUAAGAUAUACAAGCAAAGUUCUUUCUGCUUACUUCUGAAAGUUAC